UACGUAGGGCGCAAGCGUUGUCCGGAAUUAUUGGGCGUAAAGAGCUCGUAGGCGGCUUGUCACGUCGGGUGUGAAAGCCCGGGGCUUAACCCCGGGUCUGCAUUCGAUACGGGCUAGCUAGAGUGUGGUAGGGGAGAUCGGAAUUCCUGGUGUAGCGGUGAAAUGCGCAGAUAUCAGGAGGAACACCCGUGGCGAAAGCGGCUCUCUGGGACGGUACUGACGCUGAGACGCGAAAGCGUGGGGAGCAAACAGG
rnacentral:rRNA from 1 species